UACGUAGGUGGCAAGCGUUAUCCGGAAUUAUUGGGCGUAAAGCGCGCGCAGGUGGUUUCUUAAGUCUGAUGUGAAAGCCCACGGCUCAACCGUGGAGGGUCAUUGGAAACUGGGAGACUUGAGUGCAGAAGAGGAAAGUGGAAUUCCGUGUGUAGCGGUGAAAUGCGUAGAGAUAUGGAGGAACACCAGUGGCGAAGGCGACUUUCUGGUCUGUAACUGACACUGAGGCGCGAAAGCGUGGGGAGCAAACAGG
rnacentral:rRNA from 1 species